GUCUUAAAUAUGUUACUCCCAUUUUUUUUUUCAGAUUUUAUUCUAUUUACGUAAUCUCUACAUCCAACGUGGGGCUCAAACCCACGACCCUGAGACCAAGAGUCACAUGUUCCAUGGACUGAGCCAGCCAGGUGCCCCCAUUUUUCUCUUGAGCAAAGCAUUGCCAUCAAAAAGCCUGAUGAAAAUCUGAAGGAGAGUGGGCUUAUGGCUAAGAAGAUUAAACUUCAUCUUGCAGGAGGGGGCAGAAGCCAAAGGAGGGAUGGUGGCUUUCUAAGGAGAUCCACAGUGCCACUGGCAAAGCUGCGAGAAGAAUCCAGGCUCUCCCAGCCACUCAGCAAAAAGGACCACAAGGAAUGACACUCAUAGACCAAAGGUGAACUAGACAUGUGACAAGAUGCUGUCCAGAGAUGCGAUCCAACCAGGGGCCAGAAACUCAUUGCUUGUGCCCAAUGUCACUUCCUUUCAAUCAUACUUCUCAAUUCUGCGUCCACACCUUGCAAGAACAAGCCCCCGGCCCAAAGACCUGCAUUCCAGCCCCUUUCCUGAGGCCUCUGGGGCCACAAAGUCUCCCCAGAUUAGUCCCUCUCCUGCAACUCUCCUGCAAGGUUCUGAUAGUCCUCAACUCUCCAUCCUGGCAGGAUAAAGGGAUUGAGAAUGUACUAAGUGUUCCAAAGACCUGGCAAAGACCAAGUGCUGACUGGACGGUAAUAAAGAGGGAAGAAUCUAUUUGUCUCCAAUAAACCAGUACUUCUCCACAUUCUUCAAACUCUCCAUUUAAAAGCCAUACUCAUGGGGCACCUGGGUGUCUCCGUUGUUAAGUCUGCCUUCAAUUCAGGACAUGAUCCCAGGGUCCUGGGAUCCAACCCUGCAUCGGGCUCCCUGCUUGGCAGGAAGCCUGCUUCUCCCUCUCCUACUCAUCCUGCUUGUGUUCCCUCUCUCCCUGUGUCUCUCUCUGUCAAAUAAAUAAAUAAAAUCUUUAAAAAAAAAAAAAAAGCCAUAGUCAUGCCAGUGGACUUCCAUUGCUCCAAAAUGAUCUCCCCUUUUGAAACGACUUUCGGAAGGCAUCUGGAAGGCAGACAAGGGAGUCUUGUGAUGAAGCAACAAAAUCAAGUUUAAGCCCAAA
rnacentral:lncRNA from 1 species